AUUACACUGAUCACGCACUAUAUUGACGACAAUUAAGGAGCACAUAUUUUGCCACCAUCCAAUAAUUUUACUGAUCACGCGUUGACAAGGGAGAUGCGGUAUCAGGUAGAGGGGUAUUUUGGACCAUCUGUUGAUUUUAUCACCUGUUGGAACUCCAAAGCGUAGUUAUAUUUAGGACAAAUUUUAAAUGCUAAACGCAGCUAUAUUUUGGGACUGAGGGAGUAUAUACAUGAGGUUACAUUACGUUUCAGGUCUCAGGUCUCGGCGUUUUUGAUCAAGAAGCAUUUCUCUUCAGAGAUUCAGGAGAGAAUUGAAUGCAUACGUUGUCCUUGACGCUUGUCUAGAUAAGCCAACUUUUUAUGCCUUUGGAUGGUUGACGACGAAUAUAUUGAUCCAGGGUCUUGAUCUGGCAAAAUUUGGCUGCAGAAUCGCUUAUUGGAAAUGAAUAGGAAAAUCAUGUGGCAUCCUAGCAUGAAGUCUGCAUUUGCAACAAUGUCUGCAGAACCCGUGAUGGGCAUUGGAUCGGAGCAGCUGAUCC
rnacentral:lncRNA from 1 species